rnacentral:rRNA from 1 species
AGUGAACGCUGGCGGUAGGCCUAACACAUGCAAGUCGAACGGCAGCACAGUAAGAGCUUGCUCUUACGGGUGGCGAGUGGCGGACGGGUGAGGAAUACAUCGGAAUCUACUUUUUCGUGGGGGAUAACGUAGGGAAACUUACGCUAAUACCGCAUACGACCUACGGGUGAAAGCAGGGGAUCUUCGGACCUUGCGCGAUUGAAUGAGCCGAUGUCGGAUUAGCUAGUUGGCGGGGUAAAGGCCCGCCAAGGCGACGAUCCGUAGCUGGUCUGAGAGGAUGAUCAGCCACACUGGAACUGAGACACGGUCCAGACUCCUACGGGAGGCGGCAGUGGGGAAUAUUGGACAAUGGGCGCAAGCCUGAUCCAGCCAUACCGCGUGGGUGAAGAAGGCCUUCGGGUUGUAAAGCCCUUUUGUUGGGAAAGAAAAGCAGCAGGUUAAUACCCCGCUGUUCUGACGGUACCCAAAGAAUAAGCACCGGCUAACUUCGUG